GUGGAGUGAUAGAAAAAUCUUCCAAUGAACUAUCAAGAAGACAGACAAAUAGCCAGCAGUUCCACAGCGACUCAGGGGACUGCCAGGGUUCAAAUCCUGCUCCUGCUAGAUGCCACUUCUGCUGCUCUUCAUUGCUGCCCUAGACAAGGCCAGGCCCUGCGGCGUGCUGCGAGCCUUCCUUCCGUUAUCUUUACCAGCUCUACAUGGUCAUUCACAGAUGAGAAAGCUGAAGAUCAGAGAGCUCACACAUUUCCCACAAGGUUACACAGUCAGUAAGAGACACUAUCAGGAUUCCAAUGACCUGCUGUUAAAGUUCAUCUCUUAUUCACUCAUUGCCUCCCUCAAGGCUGAAG
rnacentral:lncRNA from 10 species